UUACGGUCAAAUCACCACUGAAACACCGGUUCUCGUACGAUCACCGAAGUUAAGAAUCGUAGAGCCAGGUCGUUAUUACUUCAUGGGGGACCGUUGGGGAACACCUGGUACUGUAAG